rnacentral:rRNA from 1 species
CCUACGGGCGGCAGCAGUGAGGAAUAUUGGUCAAUGGACGAGAGUCUGAACCAGCCAAGUAGCGUGAAGGAUGACUGUCCUAUGGGUUGUAAACUUCUUUUAUAUGGGAAUAAAAUGUUCCACGUGUGGGAUUUUGUAUGUACCAUAUGAAUAAGGAUCGGCUAACUCCGUGCCAGCAGCCGCGGUAAUACGGAGGAUCCGAGCGUUAUCCGGAUUUAUUGGGUUUAAAGGGAGCGUAGGUGGAUUGUUAAGUCAGUUGUGAAAGUUUGCGGCUCAACCGUAAAAUUGCAGUUGAAACUGGCAGUCUUGAGUACAGUAGAGGUGGGCGGAAUUCGUGGUGUAGCGGUGAAAUGCUUAGAUAUCGCGAAGAACUCCGAUUGCGAAGGCAGUUCACUGGACUGCAACUGACGCUGAGGCUCGAAAGUGUGGGUAUCAAACAGGAUUAGAUACCCGGGUAGUC